AGUGAACGCUGGCGGUAGGCCUAACACAUGCAAGUCGAACGGCAGCACAGUAAGAGCUUGCUCUUACGGGUGGCGAGUGGCGGACGGGUGAGGAAUACAUCGGAAUCUACUUUUUCGUGGGGGAUAACGUAGGGAAACUUACGCUAAUACCGCAUACGACCUACGGGUGAAAGCAGGGGAUCUUCGGACCUUGCGCGAUUGAAUGAGCCGAUGUCGGAUUAGCUAGUUGGCGGGGUAAAGGCCCACCAAGGCGACGAUCCGUAGCUGGUCUGAGAGGAUGAUCAGCCACACUGGAACUGAGACACGGUCCAGACUCCUACGGGAGGCAGCAGUGGGGAAUAUUGGACAAAGGGCGCAAGCCUGAUCCAGCCAUACCGCGUGGGUGAAGAAGGCCUUCGGGUUGUAAAGCCCUUUUGUUGGGAAAGAAAACCAGCAGGUUAAUACCCCGCUGUUCUGACGGUACCCAAAGAAUAAGCACCGGCUAACUUCGUG
rnacentral:rRNA from 1 species